rnacentral:rRNA from 1 species
GAUCCUGGCUCAGGAUGAACGCUAGCUACAGGCUUAACACAUGCAAGUCGAGGGGCAGCAUGAUCGAAGCUUGCUUGAUGAUGGCGACCGGCGCACGGGUGAGUAACGCGUAUCCAACCUUCCCUGUAGUAGAGAAUAGCCCGGCGAAAGUCGGAUUAAUGCUCUAUGUUGUAUUUCGAUGACAUCUGAAGAAUACCAAAGGUUUACCGCUAUAGGAUGGGGAUGCGUCUGAUUAGGUUGUUGGCGGGGUAACGGCCCACCAAGCCGACGAUCAGUAGGGUCUGAGAGGAAGGUCCCCCACAUUGGAACUGAGACACGGUCCAAACUCCUACGGGAGGCAGCAGUGAGGAAUAUUGGUCAAUGGACGGAAGUCUGAACCAGCCAAGUAGCGUGCAGGAUGACGGCCCUAUGGGUUGUAAACUGCUUUUAUAUAGGGAUAAAGUCGGGGACGUGUCCCCGUUUGUAGGUACUAUAUGAAUAAGGACCGGCUAAUUCCGUGCCAGCAGCUGC